rnacentral:rRNA from 1 species
AAAUCCCAUAAAGUUGUUCUCAGUUCGGAUUGUAGUCUGCAACUCGACUACAUGAAGCUGGAAUCGCUAGUAAUCGUAGAUCAGCAUGCUACGGUGAAUACGUUCCCGGGUCUUGUACACACCGCCCGUCACACCACGAGAGUUUGUAACACCCGAAGCCGGUGGAGUAACCUUUUAGGAGCUAGCCGUCGAAGGUGGGACAAAUGAUUGGGGUGAAGUCGUAACAAGGUAGCCGUAUCGGAAGGUGCGGCUGGAUCACCUCC